rnacentral:rRNA from 1 species
AAUUCCGAUAACGAACGAGACUCUGGCAUGCUAACUAGUUAUGCGACCCCCGAGCGGUCGGCGUCCAACUUCUUAGAGGGACAAGUGGCGUUCAGCCACCCGAGAUUGAGCAAUAACAGG